AGCACAACGUCAGGCUGCAGCAGAAGCUUGAGGAAUGCAGGGGCUAAUGAUAGUACUCAUCAACCAAAAUUACCGGCGUUGCCAACCAUGCUUUGAACUUUUGGAGAUCAAGCUGUACGGUUGUACAAUGAAGAUUUUUGGUAACUACCUCAACUCUCAUGAGAUGAUUAUCUUAGAAAAUCGAGAUAUUUUCUCAUGAAUUUCAGCUCUCCUGAUGAGGCACAUAGUUUUGUACUUGGGGUGCUCAGAAAGAAUAGGAUGUUUUCUUUUUUAUACAUCUCGUGGCUUAUCCUUGUGUCAGAACAAAAAGGAAAAAAGAAUACUUGGUCUUUACAUGGAAAGGACGCUCCUGUGGUUAUUGUGAUAUCAAAAUUUGCAUAAUUUCUUCUAAUGUUUUAUUUACUCUUUUACUGGCUUCCCUGUCUUUAUUUGUGGUGCUUAGUUGUUCAACCUGGCAUGCUCUGUUACCCAAGAUGCAGUUUAAGGAUUCAAGUAGCGAUUGCAACCCAAAACAUUGCAAAGAAUCUGCUACCAGAGGCUUCAUUAUGCACAUCUUUUCUUUUUACAAAAUGGAGUCUGAUCUGCUGUCAUCACAUCAACAGGUUUGAUUCUUCUGUGACACAUUAAGUGGCCUCACAGGUGAAAGGAGGAGCGGCCACCCACUCGACGGUGCGGUGCAGGGUGGCAAGGGAGCCGGCAGGGAGGUGUCAACGCGGUCCAUGGCCGCGAGGGAACCGUCCAGGAAGGCGACGAUGCGAUGCAGGGAUCGAGGCCGCCGUGCCGGGAGCCGACGGGGCUGCUGAGCUUCCUUUGGGGCGGUGGCGAGGAAAGGCAGGAGAGGGGCGAGGGAGACGAUUAGGUUUAGAUUGCUUUUUUUCAAAUUUAUUAGAUGGUUAGAUUAGCGUGAUUUGAGGGGCUGCGGAGGUGGGAUGGAGAGUUUCAUAUUUUCAUCUGGUGGAGUACGGUCAGUCCAUGUAAAUUGCUAAGCGCACACCA